rnacentral:rRNA from 1 species
UGGGGAAUAUUGGACAAUGGGCGAAAGCCUGAUCCAGCCAUGCCGCGUGUGUGAAGAAGGUCUUCGGAUUGUAAAGCACUUUAAGUUGGGAGGAAGGGCAUUAACCUAAUACGUUAGUGUUUUGACGUUACCGACAGAAUAAGCACCGGCUAAUUCUGUGCCAGCAGCCGCGGUAAUACAGAGGGUGCAAGCGUUAAUCGGAAUUACUGGGCGUAAAGCGCGCGUAGGUGGUUUGUUAAGUUGGAUGUGAAAUCCCCGGGCUCAACCUGGGAACUGCAUUCAAAACUGACUGACUAGAGUAUGGUAGAGGGUGGUGGAAUUUCCUGUGUAGCGGUGAAAUGCGUAGAUAUAGGAAGGAACACCAGUGGCGAAGGCGACCACCUGGACUAAUACUGACACUGAGGUGCGAAAGCGUGGGGAGCAAACA